UUUUCACCCAUGAUUCCUUUAGGUUUUUGAUCAAAUGUUUUGCUGGCGCCCAGUCUGGACAGCAGUUACCUCCCAUUACGAUGUAUUUAUCAUUUCCACCCUCUGGUCAUUGUCCUGCAAGCAACCAUUUGGACUUUGUGAAUCCUGAUGUAUAUGUGGAGGCUUAUCAGCACAGAGCAUUUAGGUGGGAAUUGCGCUGUAAUGUAUUUACAUUUCAUGUGUAUAGCAAAACCCAGACAAUAUGAAGUACUGUUCCUGCAAAUUCAUUAUAGUGACAUAUUAUUUCCAUAUGGUAUUUGGUAUCAUUAGCCUAGCUUCAUAAAAGUAUUCCUGCACUCCAGAUAUUCCACAGAGCUGUACAAAGGAUAUGUAAGCAUACAAGUAAGGAAUGCAAUUCCUAGGGAGUUUAAGGUUUUAAUUCUUAUUUAUUUUAAAGUUUAUUCGCUGAACACUAAAUUGCGAUCAACUGAACAAUGAAUUGCAAUAUUUUGGUUAAAAUAGCCCAGCUGUAACUAUUUUGGAGUUGGAGAUUUUUUCCAAAUCAACUGUUUGGUGUUCACUUUACAACCAAAUAGUUUUUAGAAAAUAAAUAUUUUAUAAGGUUGUUUACUAAAAUAGAAAUUGUGGUAAAUUCAAAGUUAAUUUAAAAUUUAAGGCCAAUAUAGCUGAACUGAAAAGAUCCUCUAUGUCAGCCAUGCUUCCAGUUUGGCUAUUUUGAUUUAAACCCCUUAAGGACCGGCCUGUUUUUGCGAUGUUGUACAUUUGCGACCAGGCAUCUUUUUACACUUUUGUGGUGUUUGUGUUUAGCUGUAAUUUUCCGCGCUCUCAUUUACUGUUCCCAUACAAAUUAUAUAUUGUUUUUUUCAGGACAGAAAGGGCUUUCUUUACAUACCAUUAUUUAUAUAAUCUCAUGAAAAAAAAUACAUGUUUUUUGACUUUUACUUGAAAAAUCUUUUACUCAUCUACAAAAGCAAAUCAAAAAAACUGCUAAAUAGAUUCAAAAUUGUGUCCUAAGUUUAAAAAUAUCCAGUGUUUACAUGCUUUUUUGCUGUUUUGUUUGCAUGUUAUAGGGCUAUAGGUAAAAGUAGGAUAUUGCGGUUUCAAAACAUACAUUUUUAAAAUUUAUCAUAAGUGACAUUGUAACACUAUUAUCGGUCAUAAAUCUCUGAAUAACACCCCACAUGUACAUAUUUUUUUUUUUUUAAAGUAGACCACCCAGGGUAUUCAAAAUGGGGUAUGUCCAGACUGUUUUAGUAGCCACUUAGUCGCAAACACUGGCCAAAUUUAGCGUUCAUAUUUGUUUGUGUGUGAAAAAAGUUAAAAAAACUAAAUUGAACGCUAAUUUUGGCCAGUGUUUGUGACCAAGUGGUUACUAAAAAAGACUGGACAUACCCCAUUUGCAAUACCUUGGGUUGUCUUCUUUUGCAAAUGGUAUGCCAUCAUGGGGGUAAUUCUCAUUCCUGGGCUACCAUACGCUCUCAAAGGCAACGUAACCAACCUGACCAUUUUCAAUGUAAAAAUAUUUGACCCAUAUAUUUGGCCCUGUAACUAAGAGGGGACUGCGAAACUUAGCAAAGGAGUCCCCCAUGAGUCUGUCAUGGCUUACCUCCAAAACUCAAACCUACCCCCAUAUGUCCCCAUUAUCAGACACACAUUAAAACACAAAAUCUGUAACCUCAUGUUUUCAGCCCUGAUCAAUUGCUGUCACAUAUAUAAUAUCUCCGAGAACUUUAAAAUCUGUUAUAAGAUAUAGGACAUCAUUUGCUACAAAUACUUGGGAAAUUAACAUUUAUUUAAAUGCAUUUUCUAGACUCAUUGCAGCAGCUGCACAUAAAUUGCAAAGCUUGGUCCAGUCUGGCAGUGAACAGUAUCUGGCAUGGAAUAACACAUCGGUGGAGCUGGUGACGGCCUCUAUAGUAAGUAUACAUUAGCUUCAUGAAGUUUUGGUGUAUAGAUCAUGUCCCUGCAGUCUCACUGCUCAAUUCACUGCCAUUGAGCAGUUAAAUCACUUUGUUUAUAUAGCCCUAGGAACACCUCCCUGCAUGUUACUUAAUAAACACUUCCUGUAAAGAAUCAUCUAAUGUUUAUACUUCCUUUAUUGCAAAUACUGUUUAAUUUAGAAUAUCUGAUAUGUUGCUCUGUAACUAGCUUGCUAGACCCUGGACCAUCUUGCGUGUUAUUAAAUUUCAAUAUACAGAGAAGGAGAUCCAAACCUAUAAAGUAAGUUACAUCUGAUUGAAAGUGAAACCAUUUUUUUUAAUGCAUGAUGUGUCAGUCAUAGCCAGAGGAGUUGUGGGUAGGGCUGCAUUAACAGAAACAAAAAUGUAACUCCUAAAUGGCAGAUAAUUGAGCAAUGAAACUUCAGAGGCAUGAUCUUUACAAUAAAACUGCUUCAUUAAGCUAAAAUUGUUUUCGUGACUAUAGUGUCCCUUUAAGAUUCAGAUCUGGCAUGUUAAACUUGCCAUUUACUUUGUAUUUGUCCCUAUGCCCUCGUUAUACCGGUAGGACUUUAUAACCUCAGCACAAGGCACCUUUGUGACAGGUUACAUGGGUCUUAAUGCAGCACUGUCACUUUGUGGGGUUUUUUUUCUACAUAUAAGAGAAACUACUUUGUUCUUAGUUUUUAAUUUAUCUUUUGCAAUAUUUGGCAAGAUACAGUUACAAUUGUUAAUGUAAUUUAUCCAAAAACCAUCAGUCAAAAGAAGGGAAAACUGCAGAUAUCAUUGGCACAGGAAAACAAAAUGGUGGUGCCCAGAUAAUGAAAUCCAUUGCAAGAAAAAAAAAGAUAAAUAUAAAUAAAGGCUGGGAGUAUAAUUAAUAAUAUGCAAUGGGAUAAAAUGAGAAAAGCUUGGCUGCUUUAACUAGCCAGCCACCACAAAUCCAUUUGAAUGCACUCUUAUCCUCCAAGACAAAUUAGACAUGAAACUUUUUGACUGCAGUUGCUCUCCAUAAUAGGAGAUAAAACUAUGCUAUGGCAGCUGGUGAAGCAUGAAGGGAAGAGGGUGCUUAAUUUAAUAAGUUACAGCAGGUGUAUCUGGUCUGUCUAUGUAAAGAAAGUGAGACAGCUGGUGUCCCUUGCCUAGCCCUGGGAUAUGUUUGGCUAAUUACUUCAGGUAUCUGGACUAAUUCACGGGAAGGAGAGCUGGGGUCUGUGUUAGGAGUUGCAGGCUAGCAAGAUUGUGUAUUGCAGAGUACAGAAUAUUUGAUAGAGUCCUAACCUCAACAUAUGAGGAAAGGGAUUUAGGGGUGAUUAUUUCUGAUGACUUAAAGGUAGGCAGACAAUGUAAUAGAGCAGCAGGAAAUGCUAGCAGAAUGCUUGGUUGUAUAGGGAGAGGUAUUAACAGUAGAAAGAGGGAAGUGCUCAUGCUAUUGUACAGAACACUGGUGAGACCUCACUUGGAGUAUUGUACACAGUACUGGAGACCGUAUCUUCAGAAGGAUAUUGAUACCUUAGAGAGGGUUCAGAGAAGGGCUACUAAACUGGUUCAUGGAUUUUGGGAUAAAACUUACCAGGAAAGGUUAAAGGAUCUUAACAUGUAUAGCUUGGAGGAAAGACGAGACAGGGGGGAUAUGAUAGAAUCAUUUAAAUAUAUAAAGGGAAUCAACACAGUAAAGGAGGAGACUAUAUUUAAAAGAAGAAAAACUACCACAACAAGAGGACAUAGUCUUAAAUUAGAAGGACAAAGGUUUAAAAAUAAUAUCAGGAAGUAUUACUUUACUGAGAGGGUAGUGGAUGCAUGGAAUAGCCUUCCAGAUGAAGUGGUAGAGGUUAACAGUAAAGGAGUUUAAGCAUGCGUGGGAUAGGCAUAAGGCUAUCCUAACUAUAAGAUAAGACUAGGGACUAAUGAAAGUAUUUAGAAAAUUGGGCAGACUAGAUGGGCCGAAUGGUUCUUAUCUGCCGUCACAUUCUAUGUUUCUAUGGGACAGCUCCAAUCACCAGAGUUUCCUGGGUUGACACCAAUCAGUGUCACCAUUCGCAGAAUACAAUGGCUGGCAGAGAUAAAGGCAGAUUUUUAAAAUCAAAUUAUUCUGAAUUAAAAAAAAAAAGGAAAGUAAUAAAAAAAACCUUUGCGAAGUUGUACAAGCAUGUCAAAGAACAUUGAAAUAAGCCUAUUGAUCCCAAUGGUUUCUAUGGCCAAUACUCCGCUUUCAGAAAAUCACACCACAUCACAGGACUAAGAUCCCAGCACUAAAUGUACCCCCUAAAACACAAUGUAAGAGGCAAUAGUUUAACUGGCUAGUAUCUAAUGUUCUUUAUUAAAAAUUUUUGGGUGAAUAAGCUAAAUAAAUUAACGGUGCACAUCAUAUAGACAAUGUAUCUAGCUAUGAACAUUAUUUAUAAAACAUUGGGUAAUUUUUUUUAUUUAAAAAAAAAAAGGGGGGGUUAUGUAUGGAAUAUGUCACGUUUUGUCUCAGUAUUAUCUGGCCUGGUUACAAAGAGAUCAGAAACAUCUAUAUAUAAAUGUAUAACAUUGUACAUAAACAGCCAGAUUUGGAACAUGCUAAUUGCCCCUCACAAAAUACUGAGAUUUCUGGAACCGCCCCCAUUCCUCCUCGGAUUAGAAACUAAGAUGAUCAUAAAAAGUGUAUAUAAUCCGAGAAAACCUAAAAAACUGUGGAAUACAGUUUGAGAGCCAAAUCGAAUUUGUAGCGGAUUUACAUUUUCUUUACCAGAAGCUAUCUUGGAACUGGUAAUAUUAGGAAGUACUGGUACUUCACUUGUGUUAAUUUUCUCCCUUUUAAUAUGUCUGUUCAAAUUUGUUUGUAAAAUAUUUUGUAUGCACUAUUUUUUUUUCAUAAUAAAUGUUCCUUUUUAACUUCUGCCUUGUUCUGGGAGAAGAAUCACAUUACUGCAGAGACCUAGGUAAUAGUACUGUAAUGCAGUUUUCAUCUAUGUACACCAAAACAAAACAAGUAAAAAGGAGCUUGACCAAUGUCUAAAAAAUGUAUGAAAAGAUAAAUAUUAGACUCUGAAUGUCGGUGUUAGCUGGAAGAUAACACAAGAUGAGGUAAUGUAUGCUCUUUGAUAGAACGCUGCACACCACUUAUAUUAAUGGUCAGAUAACAAAUCCAAAGCCAAUUGGCUAAACCUCUACCUACUCAGAAAAAUGGAUGAUAUAUACAGAAAUAGAUGAAGGAUAUAAAUUCCUCCAAUUGUCCUAAUCUCUGACUUUUUUGGGUGAUGUCUAUAUCAGGAGUUGGAUUUUCUUAUAUCGCACUGAGUAGUUGUCUAGGAUACAUGGAGCAGAUGGCCGAUGUAAUUGAUUCUACAAAAUCGAAAUAUAGAGCUAGUAGAAGGUUGUUUGUGAUUACAAAUUGUUGCAAUCUCUCCUCCUAAUUUUGGUUAAUGCAAUUCAAUAUAGGAAACACUGUUUGAGAGAAGAAACUGGGCCAGAUGGCUGUCAGUCUUAGGCUUCUAUAUUAUCACAGUGUGGAAAUAUGUUGCAGAACGGAGAGAGUGGAUGCAUUUUAGGUAGCCAUGACCCAGGAUGUUUGAAUGCAUUGGAUGCAUUUUAGGCAGCCAUGACCCAGGAAGGAUCUCUAACAGCCAUCUGAGGAGUGGCCAGUGAAGUUAUCACUAGGCUGUAAUGUGUAAACACUGCAUUUUCUCUGAAAAUACAGUGUUUACAGCAAAAAGCCUGAAGGUAAUGUCGUGCGGUAACACUUCCAGGUUCCGCACUCCGCUGUGCGGAACUGGACCCCGCCCCCCUCUGACUCAGCUCUGACGGUAUUUAGGGAGACCACGCCAGAGAGAGCGGGCUUGGUGAUACUGGGAGCUACUUCCGCCAGACUUACCUCUCCACAGGCUCUGGCAAUGUGGGUCCUAUUUCCGAGUAUGCACGCCGGCUCCUGGGACACGCCGGCUCUACAAACUCUGAUGUCGUCCUAGCCUUCUGGACUAAGACAAGUAUACUUCGUGCCAUAGAGGAUUACUGGAGAACAGAAACUCACUUCCUUACAAGUGGACCAUAUCGCUGAACUAUUGGAGGACUACUCACAUUAACCUUAAGUAUAUCUUUCAGCUAUUUGUCUACAUUAUCAUUUAAUAAUGAACUAAUGCUUGCUUACUAAAUCUUCACUGCUUCAAGCUACUAAUUAUAUGGAGGACAACUCCCAUCAUGCUUAUUCACAAUGAACUGUUUCUUGCUUUGCAAAUACACUCAGUGCUUCAAGCUACUAAUUGUAUGGAGGACAACUCCCAUCAUGCUUAUUAACUAUGAACUGUUCCUGCUUUGCAAAUAGUCUCAACUACUUGCUUAAAGUUACUAUUGAAGAUUAUUCUCAUUAACCUAAAGAAUGUUACUUAAUGCAUCUCUGAGGAAAUACUUAUUAAUGAACUGUGUUGUUGAUUACUUGCACUUCCUCUUAUUGGAUUAUUGCCUAAAUGCAAUUCAUUUAAGUUUAACACUUAUUAAAACUUCGGUUGAAUCAAGUUACCAGUGAUUCUCUCUUUUCUUAAAGCUACAGUAUUGAUACUUUAAAGAUUCUCCGUUUCUUCACUAUUGUAAUUAGGGAGUUUUACAAGCUGCAGUUGAGUUCCAAUCCAAAUCACCCAAGUAGCGUAACAAUGAUUCUACUCACCAGAACAAAUCCAAUAAGCUGUAGUUGUUCUAGUGACUAUAGUGUCCCUUUAAAGCAACUGUUACUAAUUAGUAUCUUCUUUAUACUCUGUCCGUUCUGCAACAUAUUUCUACACUGUGAUAAUAUAGAAGCUUUAGCCUGACAGCCAUCUGGCCCAGUUUCUUCUCUCAAACAGUGUUUCCUAUAUUGAAUUGCAUUAACCAAAAUUAGGAGGAGAGAUUGCAACAAUUUGUAAUCACAAACAACCUUCUACUAGCUCUAUAUUUCGAUUUUGUAGAAUCAAUUACAUCGGCCAUCUGCUCCAUGUAUCCUAGACAACUACUCAGUGCGAUAUAAGAAAAUCCAACUCCUGAUAUAGACAUUACCCAAUAAAGUCAGAGAUAAUGACAAUUGGAGGAAUUUAUAUCCUUAAUCUAUUGCUAUAUAUCAUCCAUUUUUCUGAGUAGGUAGAGGUUUAGCCAAUUGGCUUUGGAUUUGUUAUCUGACCAUUAAUAUAGGUGGUGUGCAGCGUUCUAUCAGAGAGCAUACAUUACCUCCUCUUGUGUUAAGCAUUUGCUUGGGGCCCCCUGGACCCUGUCCCCCUUCUCAGGCAUGCAAUCACGUCCUCCACCUCAACGCAGUGGCAGGCCUAAAGUAGAGAGGUGCAAGAAUCUUUGGGGGUCUCCCUGUUGCACGGGUGAUUAAAAGGUAGAUCCCCAUCUGUCGUGCAACUCCAGAAAUGCAUUGACAGCUGGGGCUCUACCAUUUACCCAUGUUUGCAGGUCUGUAUUUAGCACUAAGCAGUUUUUGUGUGUUUGAAUGUAAACAGGUUUUUGUAUAGAAUAUGUUUGCAUGUGGUGUUGGCGUGAUUGCAAGCAUGUAUUUGUGUAGUGUUGGUUUUUGAAUGCAGGGGUGUAUUUACACAUAAUUUUGGUGUGUAACACAGACAUGUGUUUGUACGUAGUGUUGAAAUUUGAAUGCAGGGGUGUAUUUGUGUGUAGUGUUAGUGUGUGAAUGCUGAGAUGUAUGCACAUAUACACACACACACAAAUAUAUACACACUGAAAUGCGCGCAGAUACACACAGACAUACUGACACACAUACACAGACAUGCUGACCUACAAACAUACUGACACAUACACAGAAAUACUGACACACAGACAUGCUGACACACACACAGAUAUACUGACACACAAAGACAUACUGACACACACAGAUGACACACAGACAUACUGACACAGACAUACACUUUAAAACCCACCCUCCAGUUUCCUACCUUUCCUGAUUAUGGCUGAAGGUGUUGGGAGUUGGGGUCUAGUGCUCUCGGCCAGCCCCUUCCAAUCUGCCUACUCUUCUUUCCUGCGCGCUCCUCUCUUUGUGGGAGUAAGUGAUGCGCGGCUGUCACUUCCUCCCAGCCUGCUGCCGUAAAAAAGCAAGUGGCCCGCUCGUGCUGUUAAAGCGCCUCAGCGUGCGACCGAGCCCCUGCUGACAGAACCCCACCGGGUGGUCCUUUGUGCAUGGGCCACCCGGUGGGCCUCCUUAGUGUGCGGAUUACCGGUGCAGCUGGCCAGUUUGCCCCGCGUUAAAGACGGCCCUGCGUAUACGAGCUAUUAUAUUGUAUAUGUUAAUGAGUAGUUUAUGGUAUUGUGUAUGAUACAUAUGAAUGUGGGCUGUGUAUGGGGGCUGCUUGUGGAAUUGUGUGUGUGGAUGGAUAUGUCACAGUGUGUGUUUGGUAGUGUGUGGGUACUCUUUGGGGUAUUGCAUGUGGGGUUGUGUGCAUGUAUGUGGAUUGUUAGUGGUGUUUCGUUUGUGAGGAUUGUGUGCAUGUUUGUGUGUGGGCUGUCCGUAUUAUUUGUAUGAGGGGAGGGUUAUUCUGCAUUUCUGUGUAUAUCUAGCAGUGUGGGUAGCUUCCAAUGGGGACUAGGCCGACCAGGUACAUGUCAAGGAUAGGAGCUGCAACAGCAACUGCGAGAUGCUCUACUACAGUGUAGAUUCCUAUUCACAAGUGCUGGGAGGAAGUGAUCUGAGAUCACUACCUCUACGUGCUGCAAUGCAUAAAUUGAGGAUUGUCCUUCACCAACUUUUCGGAUUAGCAGAUAUCUGAAGUUUUACUGGGACUCCUGAUAGGCAAGAUCCUGUUUGGCUCUAGCAGCCUUGAGUGCCGUGCAAAGACACCAUGAGUGCCGUGCAUGGCAUUAGUGCCGUAGGUUGCCUACCCCUGCCCUAGACACUACUGGAGUGUUUUUCUGGUUUAGCAGCUUCAGAUUAGGCAAACAGGAUAAACAGACCUCCCUGCCCUGUAAACUGUUCCAUUAUAUACGAUAAAUAUUACAAAUCAAAAAGCAGGUCCUUUUAAAGUGCAAUUGCUCUCAAGACACAUAUAAUAAACCAUAAAUAAAAAAGUGCAAAAUAUUGCUCAAGUGCUCUGUGAUAUAUUGCUUCUCAAACAAUAUUAUGUGCAAAAACAGCAAUCCCGUGCUAAUGUAUGAAAAUGUAAGUAAAAAGCUCUAGUGCCUAUAGUAAUAGAAAAAGCACUUACACUGAAUAAUUCACUUAUUGAAAACACACAAUAAGGAUGUCUCCUCCAAUAUUCACAGAAUCAUAAACUGUAAACAAGAAAAAAAGAGAAUAUAUGGUGUAAUACAGUAUGCAUAAAAUAUGUAAAAAGGCUAAUAUUGAAAACCCACUCACAAGUGGAGAGCAUAGAAGCCUGCUCUGUCAGCGCGUAUAUAUACACACACUCCAAUCCAAUCCAAUAAAUAGCAGCAGCAAGGAAAAGAAUGUGGCAGCAAGUGACUUCUUUAUUUCUGAAAAUAUUCUUAAAAUAACUCUAUGCCCAUCACCUCCCGACUGGACCUCCUUCCCUGUGUUCAGAUACAGUCCUCCCUCCUGUUCGCUGACGGUUAAGCAAAGACACGGGCUGUGAAUGUCCCAAACACUUCCUGGUGGGCAGAGCUAUGUCUGUGACACUGUGCGUGAUGACGCGUUUCGCCUGGAAUUGGCUUCCACAGAUCACUCCCAAAGUCCUAUUAUAACCAAUCAUUGGUUCCUACUCAAAACUUCAUGCAAAUGAGUCCUUAAAGGGACACUAUAGGCACCCAGACCACUUCAGCUCAAUGAAGUGGUCUGGGUGCCAGGUCCCUCAGGUUUUAACCCUUAAUCCAGCCUCUAGUGGCUGUCUUCCGGACAGCCACUAGAGGAGCAUCUGCGACGCUGGAGGCGAAUUUCGCCUCCAUCGCGCCGAGCGUCCAUAGGAAAGCAUUGAGACAUUGGACAAGGGAGCUGACGUCGGACAGGGAGGAGAGGUCACCAGCGCUGAGGGAGCCGGUGCUGGAUUAAGUAACUGAAGGGGUUUUAACCUUUAGCACCACGGGAGGGGGAACCUGAGGGUCGAGGCACCCUCAGGGCACUAUAGUGUCAGGAAAACCGCUUUGUUUUCCUGACACUAUAGUGACCCUUUAAUGAGAGUUCAUCCCAAAUCAAAGUGGUAAAUCUACUAAACAUUGUACAAUGUUUAGUAGAAGUAAAGGUGUUUUCAUCUCUACAUUUGCUAAAUGGUGUUUUGUGGGUUUUUAAUUUAAAUUGGUUGGGGUAACCGAAGACCCACAUGUCCUUGCGGUGGCAACCUUUGUAAAAGAAAUGGCAUGGGUGUUGUUAAUAGGGAUUUUUGAAAUCAUUAUAUUGGUUCUGCUACAGACAAAUAGUGAUUUUUAUUUUAAUCAUUUCCCCUACUGAACUAAACCAUGUGUCCACUUAAAGAAGUGUUGGAAUAUAAAUUAAUGCACGUAUAUCUUCGAAGAUUAAAGGGACACUGUGGGCAAUGUAAUUACCUCAUUUUAUUGAAGAGUUCAUACUCUGGAUUGCCCUGGCAUCAUCCUUCCAUUGAGUAUGAAGGACAUGUGUAAACUCUGCCUGAUCCAUGCCUCCAGUACUGGCCUGGCUGUAGAGGCCAGGGACUCUUAUUUAAUGUUAAUCUGCUUGAUACUGAUCUAAAGCUGAAUUGUCAGUGCCAGGGAACUCCAAGCAUUAUAACCAAGUCAAUGACAUGAAAUAGUUCUAGUGCCAAUAGUGUUUAAGCCAUGUUUUAAAUAUUAUAAACAACAGACAAAAAAACUAAGUGAUAUAAAAAGUUCAAAACAUAAUUAAGUAUAAUGCCCUGCUCAGGAAAAGAUCUAAUAGGAGCCAAGCAAAAACUAAUAGAAUCAGAAAAUAUAUGGCAAUGGCUGCUACAUUAACUCUCAAUGACCAGUGGGCACCAGGAAGGGGGGAGCAAAAAACAAGCAAAAAAACUAAACUAAACCACAAGAGAGGCAUCAGAGCAUAAACAUAAUGUAAAUGUAAGAAAAUAUAAAAAGAAUAGAUAACAAUAGAGUGGGCAGCAAAUAGUAAAAUGCAAUAGCCCUAAUAACACAUUAACUAUUCUAACAUUGUGUCAUUCUGAUUGGACAAUACUGCACUGUUUUCCAGGCUCAUACACACUACAAGACUGUGAAAAUUUUUGUUGAUGCACUGAAUUCGGUUACACGAGAACCAGAAAUCCAGAAGGCAUUAAAGAGUCUCUGUGACUUGUACGCACUGCAUGGAAUAUUUACCAAUGCUGGAGAUUUCCUACAGGAUGGAUAUUUGUCUGGAAAACAACUGGAUAUGGUGACAACAGCCUACCUUAACCUCUUGCCUGUGAUCCGGUGAGAUUCCAAAAUGUAAAAGUAUUGAAAUAAAUGAAUUCCUCACUACUGCCACAUCUCAUGCAAUCCUGUUUUACAGGAAGGACGCAGUUCUUUUAGUAGAUGCUUUUGACUACACGGAUGCAGAGCUAUUAUCAGCGAUUGGCAGUUAUGAUGGAAAUGUCUAUCACAACCUUCUAGAAUGUGUUCAGAAAAAUCCAGAUAACAAGAAGGUAAAUUCUAUAUUGGAAUUUUAUUUUGCACAAUAAAAAACAUACAGUGAGGGGAAAAAAGUAUUUGAUCCCCUGCUGAUUUUGAACGUUUGCCCACUGACAAAGAAAUGAUCCUGCAAAAACCCUGCAAUGGUAGACUAUACUCACCAGAACAACUACAUUAAGCUGUAGUUGUUCUGGUAACUAUAGUGUCCCUUUAUGUUUCAUGUUUGUGCGUGCAAAGGGGUAGGGACUGUAGAGGGUGCCGAGAGGAAGGGGUUGCAGAGGGUACAGUGGGAAGGGACUGUAAAGGGUACAGGGGGGCAAUAGUGGGUGCAGAGGAGGGACAGGCUGUAGUGGGUGCAAAGGGUAAUAGGUGCUGUUGUCUUUGCAGGGGGAAAUAGGAGCUGUAGUAAGUGCAUAGGGUAUAGGGGCUGUAGUGGGUGCAUAGGGUAUAGGGGAUGUAGUGGGUGCCUGGGGCUAUAGUGGGCGUAGGGGCUGCACUUGGAGCAGGGGGGUUAGGGGCUCCACUUGGAGCAGGGGUGGGGGGUAGGGGCUCCACUUGGAGCAGAGGAGUAAGGGCUCCACUUGGAGCAGGGGUAGGAUCCGGGCAGGGGUAAGGGGCUCCACUUGGAGCAGGGAGUAGGGAUCGGUUGGAGCAGGGGGUAAGGGGGCUGCAGAGGGAGAAUGUGGGCAUGGGGUGCAGUGAGAGCAGGAGGGUAGGUACUCUGAUGAGGCAGUAGAGGGGCAAAUUAUAUGAUAAAACAUUUUUAAUUAAAAAAAAUAUUAAUAUGACUUAAAAAAAUAAAGCCUUACCUCUCUGGUGGUCCUCUUCUGAAGGAACCUCACUGAUCCAGGGCACUCAAUGCUGACGUGCUGCCUGUAACUCUGCUCAGGGCAGCUCCGCACAGCUCUCUCUGACUGCUGAUGUCACUUCCUGCAAAACAAGCCGCAUGGAGCUGCCCUGAGCAGUUACAGGCAGCUCAGUGAGGCUGUGUUUGGAGACAGGCACACUGAGGGGCAGCCUAGUGGGGUCUUUGGAAGGCGCUUUAGCUGUCUUUCAGUGUGCCCUGCAAGGGCGAUUAUAUUUUAGCAGCAGGGGCCCCGCGGAAGGCUGUGCGGGCCCUUUACUAAGUGCAGGCUGGCUGGGGAGAUUGUUUAACUCCCCAGCUCAGCCAUUACUGCACUGCAGCAGUGGCCGGGCCCCCAGAGCCUCGGGCCCUCGGUCCAUGACCGAUUUGCCUGAGUGCUCAGUCUGCACCUGCACCAACUGUUGUCCCCUUCUCACCAAGCUGCUUGGCGAUGGUCUUGUAGCCCAUUCCAGCCUUGUGUAGGUUAACAAUCUUGUCCCUGACAUCCUUGGACAGCUCUUUGGUCUUGGCCAUGGUGGAGAGUUUGGAAUCUGAUUGAUUGAUUGAUUGAUUGCUUUAAGAAAGUGCUCCUAAUCUCAGCUUGUUACCUGUAUAAAAGACACCUGGGAGACAGAAAUCUUGCUGAUUGAUAGGGGAUCAUAUACUUAUUUCACUCAUUGACAUGCAAAUCAAUUUAAAACCUUUUGACAUGUUUUUCGGGAUUUUUUUUUUUGUUAUUCUGACUCUCACUGUUAAAAUACACCUACCAUUAAAAUUCUAGACUGAUCAUUUCUUUGUCAGUGUGCAAACAGCAGGGGAUCAAAUACUUUUUCCCCUCACUGUAUGCAAUUUUACGUAAAAAACAAACAAAACCAAAAAACAACAAACAUUCAUGGACCUUACAUACAACUUUCUGUAAGCAUGAUAUGGGGGUUGACAGUAAUUUAGAAAAUCCCACCUAUCAAUAUGCCAAGUGGUGAAUUAGCAUCAAACAGAAGGGCAACAAAGUCAAAAUUCUGCACAUUAGAUGCUGCUGACAGACUGCUAUUAAUGGACCAAAUAGAAAAAAAACAAUUCUACUUUUUCUACUUUCACAACUAGAGAUUCUGUGGUGGGAUAAAAUGUGGUUACCUCGCAGAAUUUGCUGACAUUGAUUUAUUCAGAGAACAAAUACAUGAAACAUAUUGUCUCUCUAUUGGGGUGAAAAGGGAUAUGAAGAAAAAGGGUUUAUAGAUAGCUUGAUAACUAAUAGACAGGUGUUUUUGUUUGUUUUGUGGAAUGUUGAAGUUAUUAGUUUUAGAGAAAAAAGGGUAAAUGAGAUCAGGAAGUGAUAUAGAUAUAUAUAAACUGAACAAUUGGAAACCAAAGCUGCAUAGUGACUUGACUGCUUUUAUUCAACAAUUUGGAAUUUAUUAGUACAUAAAUAGUAGCUCGAUGUGCUGCUAUAAAGUGCAAGAAAAGGAAAAAAUAUGUUCCAUAACAUUUAUACAAAUAACUAUUUUGUAUUAUUUAGACACUACUGAUUAUGUAAAGGAACACUCCAAGUACCAUGACCAUCACAGCUUGUUGUAGUGGUUAUGGUGCGAGGAGUGUCCUGCAUCCUCCAAGGGUAACUUGUCGUUUCAGAUACGUCUGACAACUUACCAGGGUUCCGCUGAGCACCAGCAGCAGCAGUCUGUUUCAUCAGAAUCAAGUGUGCACCAUUAAACAGGGCUAUGAUUAUUGACUGAGAGAAUCAGCAGAGUGCUUUCAGCCAAUGAGACUGGCCUUGGGUUGGCCAGGCUUUGCUCAUUGUGGACAUCCAGCUUCUCCAACAAGAGAAGCUGGGUCUACAGUGUAGGUGCCUGGGGACCCAGAUAAGUUGUCAAACCAUUUUUACUUUCUCAGAGCAAAUUAGCACCAUAACCACUACAGCAUGAUGCUUGAAAAAUUCCCUUAAGCUAAAAAUGUAUAUAACUGUCAGUAUGAUGACACUUUAUAUCUAUAAACCAGUGUAUUAUAUGUGAUCUCUCACACUUUGAUGAACAACUAUUAUUCUUACAAAUAGUUUGUAACAAUUUAGGUUUCAGCCUAAUACUAAAUAAAGUUUGGUCUGGUUGGUGAAGGAAUACAUUAAUUGUGUUUGUUCUCAGCAAAGAGGUAUUGCCAGAUAAUCAGUAAAAAGAUGGGUACAUUCUGACCCACCUAUGUUUAACUCAUAGGAGUCAACGAUGAACAUUUUUAAUCAUACUUUUUUGUUUCUUUAGGUUAAUCCUAUGUUUGAGAGUCACCUGAAGCCUUACUUUCAAAGUGCCAAAGCAAAGCUGUAAAAAACAAGCAGUUUAUGAAGCAGUUAAUUCUGCAAAUGAACAUAUUGUACAUGGUAUUGUAAUGUAUCUUGCAGGAUGUUUAUGUACAUUAAAGAAAUAUAAUUUCGAUUUCAUUUUAGCCAACUAAAUCACAUGUCAAUCUUACAUUAUUCUUUGUACGUGAAACACAAUCCUUUAUUUACAAGAAACGACUUCAAAAGAAAAGUAACAUUUGGAGCCUCCAUUCACAGGGAUUUAAAUACAUUUGGAAAAAAAUAAAAUAAAAAUAAGCAAAUAAAAGUGGGUCUAUUAAAUGAAAAAAAAAAAAUACAAAGAAAGUAAAGCAAUAUAUUUGCAUAUUUAAAAUUACACAAAACCAAACUCUUUAGUAACAAACAUUGAAUUCUGCAUUUAUUAAAUUUAAAAUAAAACUUCAAUAAGACUGGAUUUUGAAUACUGUAGUUUUUUAGUUUAUUGAAUUCUAUUGUUUGACUUGAUAAAGGCCUGGUAGGGUCAAAACGUUGCUGCUUUUACAACAAUAAAGCUGCUAUUUGUGUUAUCCCGGAGUGCCUGAACUGUUAUUUAUUCUGCAUAUUUUCGAAUUAGGCGUGACCAGCCCUAGCUUUAGAGCAUCUGGGUUAUUUGGUAAGUGCGUUAUCCAGUAUGGCUCUACUAUUAAUAUACAAGGGGCAUAAAGAAAUGAAAAAUCAAAG
rnacentral:lncRNA from 1 species